GGAAAGAGAGAGACCGGCAGGAGGAGUCCUCGUCAUGACCCAGUCCCUCGCUGUUAUCCUAAAAAGCCCUAUCUUUUGGAGCAGGAAGAGUCCUGGGAAGUCUUCUGGUUCAACCCCAGAGAAAGAUGGGCGUCUCACCAAACUCCUGGGCUCAAGUGAUCCUCCUGCCUCGACCUCCCAAAGUGCUGGGACUACAGGAGUGAGUUAACGCUCCCAGCAACCCGGCUAAUAUUUUCUAGAGAUGGGCACUCACUAUGUUGGCCCAGGUUGGUCUCAAACUCCUGGGCUCAAGCGAUCUCCAGACCUCAGCCUCCCAAAGGGAUAACAGGUGACCAACCCGGCCCUCCAAUUUCCUUUGACUUCACCAUUCCUCAGGCUCCUGCAGCACCCAUGGGAGCACACUUUGUAGCUUGAAUCACUAGAGACAGCCCUACUUCCAUGAUUCAGAGCUGCAGGCUUUGACCACAACCACCCAUCUCUCACCUCUGCCAUGACCUCGCCUUUCUUGUCUCAAGACCUAGGACCCCUUUUGGUUUUAUCAGACUCCUUACCCAGCCUAAACUACUCAAUUCUGUCCCCUUACCUACCUACCUACCUACAGGUCAGUUCCCAAACCAAUGAUCGUUGCUCCAUUUCCCCCACCUCUUUUUUUCACUCCUGGGCUCUGGAGUAUUGCUGGAAGAAAAAUAACCAGAACAUGUUUGCCAAGCCCUAGAUUCCCUGACUAGCCUCACUACCGGGCUCUAAGGGCAGCUCUGUGAUCCUUUGUCUUUUAUUGACUCCGUCACCCUCAAGAUAACUAUUCAAACUUUUCCACAUUCAUCAAGGCACUCCACCUGUCCCCAUGUCUCUGCUCUCUGCAGAACGCCUUUCAUUCCUGCUUUAUGAGAUUGAGGCCAUGCAUGUGAACCCUUUAAGUUUUCCCUCUGUCUGUCUCUAUACUUGAUUCAUCGCUCAAAAAUUUCUCUCCACUUUUACUCCUUCUUUUUUUUUUUUUUUUUUUUUUUUUGAGACGGAGUCUUGCACUGUUGCCGGGUUGGAGUGCAGUGGCUUGAUCUCAGCUCACUGCAACCUCUGCCUCCCUGGUUCAAGCGAUUCUCCUGCCUCAGCCUCCCUAGAAGCUGGGAUUACAGGCAUGAGCUACCACACCCAGCUAAUUUUUGUAUUUUUAGUAGAGACGGGGUUUCACCAUGUUGGUCAGGCUGGUCUCAAACUCCUGACCUCAAGUGAUCCGCCCACCUCGGCCUCCCAAAGUGCUGGGAUUACCAACCGCAUCCAGCCUACUCCUUCCUUUUGGACUCAGAAGAAGUGUUGCACCCUUUGGCAUAUGUUCUUGCCUCCCCUUUUCAACUUCCUCCAGGACUUCUCUAUCAUCUUCCCUCUCGCCCUUGCCCUUAGCUCCUCUCCCAUAUACUAUAAAUAUGCACAGGUCUUCCUUAAUUAAAAAUAUGUAAACCCUUGGCCAGGCUUGGUGGCUCAUGCCUGUAAUCUCAGCACUUUGGGAGGCCGAGGCAGGUGGAUCACGUGAAGUCAGGAGUUGUUCAAGAUCAGCCUGGCCAGCAUGGUGAAACCCCGUCUCUACUAAAAAAUACAAAAAAAUAGCCGGGCGU
rnacentral:lncRNA from 1 species